AACCUGGGGGAAGAUCCACGCUCUCUGUGUUGGCUUAAUGUUAACAUCUGCCCACCGAGAGCCACAUAUGAGCUGGAAGACUGUGCUGAAUGUGUCUUCCAUUCAAAUGAUUUAUCUGAUCACUAUAAUGGACCAUGCAUGUUAUUUAGAAGGCGUUAUAAUGGAGUCUGAAGGGGAGAAAGGCUCGGGCUCUCUAUGGUGAUUGUAGAAGCUGAGUCAUUUACAACUCCUCCAGCUGUUGUUUACACUGACAAAAAUCCAUUUGCUGUUUAAAUGUGUAAGAGUGGGUUUGGAGAGGCCACGGGGCAGCAGCAGACGUGUGGGAGCUCUGGGAGGUUGGUGGACAUUUGUUAUUCUUCAUGCUCUGGGUCAAAACCAUGCAUGCGUGGGAUGGACUGGGAAUAUGAUAAAUAUUUACAGACGGGAUUGUUUUGUGGCUGUUGAAUUUCUCUCGUUCUAACAAAUAUGAUCUUUAACUAAAACCAGAUGCCUUGUGGGGAUGUUUGCCAUCUGUUGGGAUGUUUAACUUUCCUCAUCGCCUGUUACAUUGGCUACCAACAUUGCUGGUGGGAUAAUCCUCCAGUGAGUUUUUAAUCUGAUUCUCACCUUUGAGGUAACAUGCAAAUGUUGAUUACAUAGGUGUUGUAGCAGGAGUGGGUUAGUUGAAACUGCUCGCAGGAGGGCUCCCCCUGGUGUUCACUUUGCAUUUGUACAGCACAAGAAACCACAUCGGCUGAUUUCUCUUCUGAAAAGAAGAGAAAAAUUUAAAGAAAAGCCCACAUGAUUCUGCACAAUAUGUGAACUAUGCGAGUUAUGUGACAUACAAUAGCUUUCAGGUCUCUUACAACACCAAAACAUGACAAAAUUAUGGAAGAAAAAAGCUAAGAUCUAAUAGAUCAAUAGAAAAAGAUAAGUUUUUAAUUCAUACAUGACUUUUAACAAACCUUUUAAAAAAUAUAUAUAAUUAGAAAAGACAUUUUUGGGACUUUAGGGAAUUAUUUGGCCUGUUGGGAUUUAAAAGCAAAAUAAAUAAAUCAAAGUAUACUGUAUGUUUGUGAGCCAUUGCUAA